AUAUUCUACGGGAAACCUUAACUUAAUAUAAGGAAUGAAGUGAAUUGAAACAUCUUAUUAACUUCAAUAUAAAUCAACCGAGAACUUGGGAGUAGUUGUGAGCGAAACUGAGAAUAGGCCAAAAAACUCCAAAACUCUUAAAAAUGAAAAAAAGUAGUGGAAACUCUUGCCAAAGAAGGUAAAAGCCCUGUAAAAGUCUAAGAAUUGGAGUCAAAAGCUCUUUAAAAGAGAAAGAAAAGGGGAACCACCCUCUAAGCCUAAAAACGUUUUCUGACCGAUAGUGAACAAGUACUGUGAAGGAAAGGCAUGAAAAGAAAUCCAACUAGUAAUGGGAUGUGAAAGAGAAUCAAAAAUCCGAUAAAGACAAUCAGUCUUUGUAAAGGCGUACCUUUUGCAUAAUGGGUCAGCGAGUAAGAAGUGAAAGCGAACUUAAGCUCAUAAGUGGAGGUGUAAUGAAAUUGAUAAUUUUGAUUUUAGUUUUCAUUUCUUGACCCGAAACCGAGUGAUCUAGCCAUGAGCAAGCUGAAGAAAUGGUAAUACAUUUUGGAGGGCUGAACCUGUGUCUGUGGCAAAAGACUAGGAUGACUUGUGGUUAGGGGUGAAAGGCCAAACGAACUCGGAAAUAGCUGGUUUUCUGCGAAAUUUAUUGAGGUAAAGCGUUUGAUUUUGUCGAUAAGAGGUAGAGCACUCUUUAGAAAACAAAUGUAUAAAAAACGAUGUCUAAUCUUCUUAAAUGAAAUUCUACAUAGUUUUUUUAAGUUUUUUUUUUAAGGAAACUCCGAAUGUUUAUCGGAUUAUAUCAAGCAGACAGACUUGUGAUGCUAAGGUCUCAAGUCAAGAGGGAAACAGCCCAGAUGAUAUGCUAAGGUCCCAAAGCAAUGACUUGGUGGUAAAGGAGGUAUUAGAACAAAGACAACCAGGAGAUAAGCUUGGAAGCAGCUAGUCUUUAAAGAAAGCGUAAUAGCUCACUGGUCGAGUUCUAAAUUGGCGCCGAAAAUAAACGGGUCCAAAGUCAUUCACCGAAGCAAUCAUUGUUUGGUUUAAAUUCUCAAAUCGAAUGGAAGGGGAAAGACUGAACUUUCGAAAACCUUGUUCCACGAUAAAACGUAGAACGAUAUUUCAAGCCAAGCAAGGUAGCAGAACGUUUUGUUAGUCUAUGAAAGAAAUCUGAAAAGAUUUCUGGAGAUUUCAAAAGUGAGAAUGCUGACAUGAGUAACGAAAAAUCAUGUGAUAUUCAUGAUCGCCGAAAGUCCAAGGGUUUCUACGAUACGUAAAUCGACGUAGAGUUAUUCGGCCCCUAAAAUGCAACAAGAAAUUGUUGGUUGAUGGGUUUUUUGAUGCAUUAAUAACUUCUAAUAGUUUAGUUAAUGCACAAUUGUUUGAUGACGAAUAGAAAAAAGGAAAAGAGUUGAAGAUUCUUUUUGCAAAUUUGAUUUUAAAGUCAAAGAUUUGUUCAUUUUAUUAAGGUUAUUGGAUUCCUUAUAAGGUAAACACUAUUCCAGGAAAUAACAACAAUGCUGACAUAUUCUAAAUUCAGCAAGAUUCUCUAGCAAAGAAUCAAUCUAUACCGUACCCUAAACCGACUCUGGUGGACAAGUGUAUUUCACUAAGGCGUAUGAGAGAACCAUGUUGAAGGAACUCGGCAAAAUUCCUCUGUAACUUCGGGAGAAAGAGGACCAAUUCCAAUACAUUGGUGGCAAAGAAAUGAGGGCGGCGACUGUUUAUUAAAAACACAAGACUCUGCAAAAUGAUUCCAUUAUGUAUAGGGUCUGACACCUGCCCGGUGCUGGAAAGAUAGAGAUGGAGAUUCAAAUUCAAAGGAUAGCCACUUAAUAACCAGUAAACGGCGGCUGUAACWCUAACAGUCCUAAGGUAGCGAAAUUCAUCGGCACUUAAUUGGUGUCCUGCACGAAUGGUGUAACGAUCGCCCUACUGUCUCCAACAUGGACUCAGUGAAAUUGAAUUCUCCGUGCAGAUGCGGAGUACUAGCAGCUAGACGGUAAGACCCUGUGCACCUUUACUAUAACCUCACAUUGGAAAGAUUUAUAAAACGUAUAGAAUAGGUGGGAGAGACUUUUGACUCAACAGUGGAAUACCACCCUUUUUAUGAGUCUUUUCUUAUUCAUUCGUGUUUGACAGUGUGUGGUGGGUAGUUUUUCUGGGGCGGAAGCCUGCUAAAAAGUAACGGAGGCGUGCAAAGGUAGGCUCAAGCUAGACUGAAAUUAGCUGUAGAGCGUAAUGGUACAAGCCUGCCUGACUGCAAGACUCACAAGUCGAGCAGGGACGAUUAAAAAACUAAACAACUACUUCUUGACGUUUGUUUAGGAAAAGUCGGCCAUAGUGACCCGGGGGUUCUGCGUGGAAGGACUCUCGCUUAACGGAUCAAAGGUACGCCAGGGAUAACAGACUAAUUACCCCCAAGAGUCCAUAUCGACGGGGUAGUUUGGCACCUCGAUGUCAGCUUGUCACAUCCUCGGGGUGAAGAAGCUCCGAAGGGUCGGGCUGUUCGCCCGUUAAAGUGGUACGUGAGCCGGGUUUAAUACGUUGUAAAACAGUAUGGUUCCUAUCUACUGCUAGUGAUUAAAAAAACUGAAAGAAUAAGUUCGUUGUACGAGAGGAACCGAGCUUCUCAACCUCUGGUGAGUAAGUUGUCGUGCCAACGGCACCGCUUAGUAGCUACGUUGAGUGAUUUUUUUUAACCGCUGAAAGCAUCUAAGCGGGAAAUUCUUCUUAAAACAAGUUUUUUU
rnacentral:rRNA from 1 species